UGCAGAUUAUUUGUGCCAC
rnacentral:siRNA from 1 species